ACUAGAAUAUUCUCUCGCCGCUAAAAUUUUUCACCGUCACCGGCUUCUGGUAGAUUUCCGUAUCUUUUCGAUCACCAAUUGCCACCUUUGUAUCAUCUGUAUCUAAUCAUCUAUAUCUUGUAUAUAUAUAGACAAAGAUAUACAUAUAGAUUUCAUUUUAUAUCAAAUUAGCAUCAUUUACAAAGAUAGCUCGUGAGUUUUGGAUCUAUGAAGAACACAAAUUAAAAUUAUUUCGCGUUCAGAAUCGAAUUGGGUAUUUAGCCACGGAUUCGCUCUCCAACGACAAUAUAAUUCAUAUUUCUCAUAUCAAGGCUCCAGGACGUUACUAUCGUCUAGACUACUGCCCGUGCCCAAAUAAGCAUUAAACGAACGGGCUAAAGCGAGAGCACCCCCUCUUUCGUGGCUCAGUGUGUCAAUUAGCAUUCGAUGUAAGCGUCCGCGUCAGGUUCAUUUUCUCCGAUAGGUUGAUGGUUUUUCUUCGGCGAAAUUUUGGCUAAAAUGUUUGGUCAGAAUUUUUGACGGAGAAGAAAGACUGUUUUCGGAGAAGAAAAUGUUGGCGUGAAUGAACGCCUAAAUGCCACUUCAGCGAAAAGCUCAUCAAGUCACUCUUUAAUUUACUUGAAACUAGAGUUACCCUUUAUUGAGAAAAGAUAAAUCAAUUGCUUUAUCUUGGCUAUUUGUCCUUAAUUUAUGUGGGCAUCUUUUAAUUAUACAGUAACAAGUUGUAAAAGUAAGAUAACCGCAGCAUAGUUUUCGGUAAAGAUAGAUAAGUUUCAUCUCUUA